rnacentral:rRNA from 1 species
UCAGUGGUGAAAGCCCAUCGCUCAACGGUGGAACGGCCAUUGAUACUGUUAAACUUGAAUUAUUAGGAAGUAACUAGAAUAUGUAGUGUAGCGGUGAAAUGCUUAGAGAUUACAUGGAAUACCAAUUGCGAAGGCAGGUUACUACUAAUGGAUUGACGCUGAUGGACGAAAGCGUGGGUAGCGAACAGGAUUAGAUACCCUGGUAGUCCACGCCGUAAACGAUGGAUACUAGCUGUUGGGAGCAAUCUCAGUGGCUAAGCGAAAGUGAUAAGUAUCCCACCUGGGGAGUACGUUCGCAAGAAUGAAACUCAAAGGAAUUGACGGGGGCCCGCACAAGCGGUGGAGCAUGUGGUUUAAUUCGAUGAUACGCGAGGAACCUUACCAAGGCUUAAAUGUAGUUUGACCGAUUUGGAAACAGAUCUUUCGCAAGACAAAUUACAAGGUGCUGCAUGGUUGUCGUCAGCUCGUGCCGUGAGGUGUCAGGUUAAGUCCUAUAACGAGCGCAACCCCUGUUGUUAGUUGCCAGCGAGUCAUGUCGGGAACUCUAACAAGACUGCCAGUGUAAACUGUGAGGAAGGUGGGGAUGACGUCAAAUCAUCACGGCCCUUACGCCUUGGGCUACACACGUGCUACAAUGGCCGGUACAGAGAGCA